rnacentral:rRNA from 1 species
GACGAACGCUGGCGGCGUGCCUAAUACAUGCAAGUAGAACGCAGUUGCGAACGGGUGAGUAACGCGUAGGUAAAUGCCUCAAAGCGGGGGAAAAAUAUUGGGAACGGUAGCUAAAACCGCAAAGUGUGACAUGGAUCUGCGUUGUAUUAGCUAGUUGGUGAGGUAAAGGCUCACCAAGGCGACGAUACAUAGCCGACCUGAGAGGGUGAUCGGCCACACUGGGACUGAGACACGGCCCAGACUCCUACGGGAGGCAGCAGGAGGGAAUCUUCGACAAUGGACGAAAGUCUGACCGAGCAACGCCGCGUGUGUGAAGAAGGUUUUCGGAUCGUAAAGCUCUGUUGGUAGAGAAGCGGUAUCUAACCAGAAAGCCACGGCUAACUCCGUGCCAGCAGCCGCGGUAAUAC